UGCCAGCAGCCGCGGUAAUACGGGGGGGGCUAGCGUUGUUCGGAAUUACUGGGCGUAAAGGGCGCGUAGGCGGCCUACUAAGUCGGACGUGAAAUCCCUCGGCUCAACCGGGGAACUGCGUCCGAUACUGGUGGGCUCGAAUCCGGGAGAGGGAUGUGGAAUUCCAGGUGUAGCGGUGAAAUGCGUAGAUAUCUGGAGGAACACCGGUGGCGAAGGCGGCAUCCUGGACCGGUAUUGACGCUGAUGCGCGAAAGCCAGGGGAGCAAACGGGAUUAGAUA
rnacentral:rRNA from 1 species